rnacentral:rRNA from 1 species
UUGACCUCGGAUCAGGGUA